CAUUAGUAGAACUCCCUAAAUCUCAGGUUCUGUAGAACUCUGCAGAGAAGAAAAGGGAAAUGUUAGCACAUAUAUGAUCUCUAGAUUCAAGAGCUGCCUGCCUGAACAUUUGGACUUCCAAUCAUGACUGGAGGGUCUGCCCUAUUUUGGGUAUUCAAGGUCUGGCCAAGGAAACACUUUCAAUUUGAGAGGGCUGAGAAAGUACCACACUGUAGCUAAGUCAUUAACUUGCAAAAGGGUGAAGAAGACAUACAAAGACUCCCUCUAUCUCUGAUCAGGGAUGCAGAUGAAAGGGUACAAACAAUCCAGAGCAACCCUGUGCUUAGUUCUCUGCAAAGCUAGAAGCAGUAAAUUCAAAUUUGUUUAUAUGAAAGUGGAAUAAAGA